rnacentral:rRNA from 1 species
AGUUUGAUCCUGGCUUAGAACGAACGCUGGCGGCGCGUCUUAAGCAUGCAAGUCGAACGGCAAGAGGUAGCAAUACCUCCUAGAGUGGCGGACUGGUGAGUAACACGUGGGUGACAUACCCUUCAGAUGGGGAUAGCUAUUAGAAAUAGUAGAUAAUACCGAAUACGAGCACAGGGGUUAGAGAUCUGUGAGGAAAGGAGCUAAGGCUCCGCUGAAGGAAUGGCCUGCGGCCCAUUAGCUAGUUGGUGAGGUAAGAGCCCACCAAGGCGAUGAUGGGUAUCCGGCCUUAGAGGGUGAACGGACACAUUGGGACUGAGAUACGGCCCAGACUCCUACGGGAGGCAGCAGCUAAGAAUAUUCCGCAAUGGACGAAAGUCUGACGGAGCGACGCCGCCGUGGAUGAAGAAGGCCGGAAGGUUGUAAAAUCCUUUUGAAACUGAAGAAUAAGCGUUGUAGGGAAUGACAGCGUGGUGACAGUAGGUUUUGAAUAAGCAACGGCUAAUUACGUGCCAGCCGCCGC